UCAGUUUUACUAAAUCAUUUAUUGUUCACUUUACUUAAAAAACACAAGUAACUGCAUAGAAUUAAUUUAACUUAGUAAUUUCAACAAAAGACCGUGUCUUGUCAUAUAUACUUUAGACAUUUUUGUUCAGUCAACAAAUCAUUGUUCAGUGAAACGCACAAAUACAAGAAAACCAAAACGGUAUGUCCCUUUGUACCGUAUGCAAAUGCAGCAGCGCCAAAGACAGACGAACGUUGAGGAGCUGACGACAGUGGCGACUUUGUGAGAGCUGUUGCUGAGCUGUGAAAGGCAGAUUUACUUUUACAAAUUAAGGACAAUGACUUGGAGAAAGCUGAGAGAGACAUGGCUAAUACAGUCAUUGGAAUUUUCAUUGUCCGAGCUGAAGGUGCAGGACCUGAACAACCACCAUUGGAUGUUGGGAUCAUUGUUGAAGGAGUGAAAGUGCUUCAGCAUCUACGAGAUGUCACCAAGGCUUGUGCUCUCCUCUUGGGAGUAAUAUAUACCUUGAAUCUUAGCUAUCCAUGUGAUCUCAAGUACACCUUUGAGUUUCUUCAAAAGGUGUUACUGGAACUUGAUGCAAGCAAACUUUCACACAAAAUGCAGGUACUUAAAAAUAAACUUAUGGAAUAAUUAACUGAUGUUUAGUUUAAUUCCAGUACAAUACUGCUGUUUGAAAAACAAUAUUGUUUUUGUGUUUAUUUUUUUGGAUAAAAAAACAUGCCUCAUUCCUUUCUAUGAGGGUCAAGUUCUGUAGCACUUUGGGGUGCGUUAGACACAAAUUGUCAUGCUUGUAGAAUUUAUUGAAUAAAAAAAAACAAGUGCAAGACUUGUUUGUAUUGCAAAUAAAAAGCUAUUUGUUUCUGAAAAAUA